AUUGAACGCUGGCGGAAUGCUUUACACAUGCAAGUCGAACGGUAACAGAUCUUCGGAUGCUGACGAGUGGCGAACGGGUGAGUAAUAUAUCGGAACGUGCCCAGUCGUGGGGGAUAACGUAGCGAAAGUUACGCUAAUACCGCAUACGAUCUAUAGAUGAAAGCGGGGGAUCGCAAGACCUCGCGCGAUUGGAGCGGCCGAUAUCAGAUUAGGUAGUUGGUGGGGUAAAGGCUCACCAAGCCAACGAUCUGUAGCUGGUCUGAGAGGACGACCAGCCACACUGGAACUGAGACACGGUCCAGACUCCUACGGGAGGCAGCAGUGGGGAAUUUUGGACAAUGGACGCAAGUCUGAUCCAGCCAUUCCGCGUGCAGGAUGAAGGCCCUCGGGUUGUAAACUGCUUUUGUACGGAACGAAAAGGUCUCUCCUAAUACGAGGGGCUCAUGACGGUACCGUAAGAAUAAGCACCGGCUAACUACGUGCCAGCCGCCGCCGUAAGAC
rnacentral:rRNA from 1 species